rnacentral:RNase_P_RNA from 1 species
UGAAGGGCGUAUCUCGUCGCGCACAUUGUGUUUCAACCUGAACUCCCACUGUGUGAGGAAAGUCCGGACUUCGCAGAGCAAGAUGCCGCCUAACCGACGGACGGCGCAAGCCGAUGGACCUUGUGUCCCGGUAAGGGUGAAAAUGUGCGGUAAGAGCGCACGGAUCUCGCUGGUAACAGUGGGCUCGGGUAAACCCCAUCUGAAGCAAGGUCAAAUAGGGCACCUGAGAUGGCUCGUCUCGUUUAAAGUGCCGGGUUGACUGCUAGACGCUGCGUGCAAACGCAGUCCCAGAUAAAUGACGAGACUCGACAGAAUCCGGCUUAUCGCGCCCUUCGCAUC